GUAAUACGGGGGGGGCAAGCGUUGUUCGGAAUUACUGGGCGUAAAGGGCUUGUAGGCGGCCAACUAAGUCACACGUGAAAUCCCUCGGCUCAACCGGGGAACUGCGUGUGAGACUGGAUGGCUAGAGUUUGGGAGAGGAAUGCGGAAUUCCAGGUGUAGCGGUGAAAUGCGUAGAUAUCUGGAGGAACACCGGUGGCGAAGGCGGCAUUCUGGACCAACACUGACGCUGAAGAGCGAAAGCCAGGGGAGCAAACGGGA
rnacentral:rRNA from 1 species